UUCGAUCAAAAGCAUUAUGUUGCAGGUAACUGAAAAGUACAAAGCAGUUGACAGCAAGUUAGCAGCUCUAUUCCCAGGUCAACAGGCAGAGAAGGUCGAGCCCAUUCAGGUGGAGGAAAAAGAAGAGUAGAGAGUCAAAGCAGUCAAACCAAACCAAACAAAAAACUAAAUUUUUUAUCUUAACUUUUAAAACCUAACUUUCCUCCCCAGUAAUAACAAAGUGCUAAAAUGUCAGGCCUGCUGCUCAAAAAAGUUGUUAUUUUUGUUUUUUGAUGAUAUUUUUAUAAAUAAAAAUAUAUUUGUUCAUUAUUUUAUACUACA